UGUGUUUCUCUUCUAUUUCUACUUCCUCCGUGACAAUAACCACAGUGGUUGUAACUCAGAGAUUUUGCAGUCUUCUUGUGCUGUCAAGAAUGAUAACAAGUCUGGUGUUAGCACUUUCGAAAAUGUCUAGCGCUGGAAAAUGUCUAGCGCCUUCUUCUAAUGUUCUUUAGCGUGUGGGGUCCAUGUGAUCGUGUGUUUGUCGAGGAGGGAAAUAAUUUGGACAGUUACAUAUUUUUAAUAUUAAAAUUUUUAUAAAAUUAAAAU
rnacentral:misc_RNA from 1 species